rnacentral:rRNA from 1 species
CAGCCGCCGCGGUAAUACGGAGGAUCCAAGCGUUAUCCGGAAUCAUUGGGUUUAAAGGGUCCGUAGGCGGUCUUGUAAGUCAGUGGUGAAAGCCCAUCGCUCAACGGUGGAACGGCCAUUGAUACUGCAGGACUUGAAUUAUUGGGAAGUAACUAGAAUAUGUAGUGUAGCGGUGAAAUGCUUAGAGAUUACAUGGAAUACCAAUUGCGAAGGCAGGUUACUACCAAUUGAUUGACGCUGAUGGACGAAAGCGUGGGUAGCGAACAGGAUUAGAUACCCGCGUAGUCCCUGUCUCUUAUAU